AUUGAACGCUGGCGGCAGGCCUAACACAUGCAAGUCGAACGAGUGGCGGACGGGUGUGUAAUGUAUGGGGAUCUGCCCGAUAGAGGGGGAUAACUACGGGAAACUGUAGCUAAUACCGCGUACCAUAGGAUGAGCCCAAGUGGGAUUAGGUAGUUGGUGAGGUAAAGGAUCACCAAGCCGACGAUCUCUAGCUGGUCUGAGAGGAUGACCAGCCACACUGGGACUGAGACACGGCCCAGACGCCGACGAGAGGCAGCAGUGGGGAAUAUUGCGCAAUGGGGGCAACCCUGAUGCAGACAGGCCGCGUGUGUGAAGAGGGCCUUCGGGUUGUAAAGCACUGGCAGCGAGGAGGCGUUACUCGCAGAAGAAGCACCGGCUAACUCGGUGCCAGCAGCCGCGGUAAUUC
rnacentral:rRNA from 1 species